rnacentral:rRNA from 1 species
UACGGGGGGGGCAAGCGUUGUUCGGAAUUACUGGGCGUAAAGGGUUCGUAGGUGGCCAACUAAGUCAGACGUGAAAUCCCUCAGCUUAACUGGGGAACUGCGUCUGAUACUGGAUGGCUUGAGUUUGGGAGAGGGAUGCGGAAUUCCAGGUGUAGCGGUGAAAUGCGUAGAUAUCUGGAGGAACACCGGUGGCGAAGGCGGCAUCCUGGACCAACACUGACGCUGAGUGAGCGAAAGCCAGGGGAGCAAACGGG